GCAAACUUGGUCAUUUAGAGGAAGUAAAAGUCGUAACAAGGUUUCCGUAGGUGAACCUGCGGAAGGAUCAUUAACAAGGAAGAGGGUGCCCUACCGGUGCCCUUGCCCACCCGUGUCUACUGUACCUCUUGUUGCCUCAGCGGGCCCGUCAGCCCCUGUUAGGGGAUGGCCGUUGGCGUCCAAAAGCGCUUACCAGCGCCCGCUCGAGGGUAUCUCAGAACCUCUGUAUAGUGUGUACGUCUGAGCGGCAUGCAAAUCAGUCAAAACUUUCAACAACGGAUCUCUUGGUUCUGGCAUCGAUGAAGAACGCAGC
rnacentral:misc_RNA from 1 species